GGAGAGACAGCAGGUACAAAGGUCCUGACAUUGGAAUGAGUUUUGUGUAGAAAAGUCCACAGUAAUGACCCUUUUUGUUGUUUAGUGAACAUAUGCUUACAUCCUUCCCUGGGGUAAACCUCCAGGUAGACCCGCUUGACCUGAACAGAAAUGUUUAGAGAGACCAAAGCAAACUUAUUGGUAAGACAGACAUUUGGAAGUUUCUGGGCUGUAAACAGGAGGCAAUUUAUUCUGUAAACUAACAUUUCCUCAUUUUGGAGCCAGAGUUCCCUCUCACCUGGCUGGUGACGAGCCUGUGGCCUCAAACUGGGAGCACUCACAUCUCUAGGCAUUGCACUUCAUACCAUGAGUUCCUUGGAUCUAAUACCUGCUACUCUUAGCCCCAUUCUCCAGAGCAGUGAACUGAGGCCUCAAAGAAGGACCACAUCUUGCCUGAGGUCACAGAGGCCAAACACUAACCACUGUGCUUUACCAACUUCCCCCAAAUAUACAUUUCAACUUUGGAACUGGUUGGGCUGAGGUUUGUGUUUUGGGCAUAGGUUUCCCAAAUAGCCCAUGGUCCUUGCCCUUCCUCUUCAGGAGGAGAAAACACACACACACACACACACACACACACACACACACACACACCUGACCAUCUUAGCCAUUUGUCCCUCCUCCCAUCUCUACAGAACAGUGGCCACCAAGGUGCAGAGCAGUGCCAGGAUCUGAUGUGCAUCCGUGGAAGGGGCGGGGAGAGGAGAGAGUCCCUUUCAGUAGCCAACUGUGUGUGUGCAACUUCCUGCCAGUGAGGAAACAUUCGUUCAAAUCAGCCCUGGUUCUCCUUUCCCUACUCUGGCCUCACAGGAGGAGUUGGCAGUGAGCUGUGGGCUGCACUGGCCUCAGCCAGACUUCCUGGCCAAGCUCAGGAGGAGAGAUGCCCUGGACUGUCCUGCUCUUUGCAGCCGGCUCCUUGGCCAUCCCAGCACCAUCCAUCCUGCUGGUGCCCCCACACCCCAGCAGCCAAGAGGACCCCAUCCACAUCGCCUGUGUGGCCCCCGGGGGCUUCCCAGGGGCCAAUUUCACGCUGUACCGCGGCAGGCAGGUGGUACAGCUCCUGCAGGCCCCCGCGGACCAGCUGAGGGUCACCUUCAACUUGACCGGCGGAGGCAGGGAGGCUCCGGGGGGCACGUUUCACUGCCAGUACGAGGUUCUAGGUGAACAGCCUCAGCUGUCCGACCUCAGCGACACUGUGAGUGUCUCCUUCCCAGUGCCCACUUGGAUACUGGCACUCUCCUUGAGUCUGGCUGGAGCUCUCCUUCUCCUUGCUGGGAUGGUGACCAUUGCCGUGGUGGUCAGGAGAGUGAAAGUAAAGAAAAUGCAGAAGAAAAGAGAGCGAGAAUCCUGCUGGGCCCAGAUCAACUUUGCCACCACAGAUAUGACCUUUGACAAUUCCCUGUUUGCCAUCUCGCCGGCAGCCACGUCCAGGCCUUGUGGGACAAAGGGCAGGAUUCCCCCCGGGCUGGAGCACUGGGACAAGAACGGGGCAAGGCUUCCAAUUCUUCAGCGCUUCCUAAUUUCUAUGGGCGGAGAUAGACGAUGCCACGCAGGUCACAGGCGGCAGUCGCUGGUGUUCGAAUGUGACAAGGAAAGGGAAGGGCCAGUUCAGCCCCGGUCUCAGCUCCCGGAGCAGCUCCUGUGCUGUUAAGAAACAGCCGGCAGCCAGGGAAGUUCUAAAACUUUCUGGGAGAAGCCACGCGGCUCAAGGCACCAUCCUGAAAAUGAAUCCAGAAGAUCCAGCCACGCUGGAUGCUUGCUCAGGCUCCGUCGAGACAUCUGGCAACUCUGGGCCCCGGAAAAGGCCCACUUCCACAUCUUCCUCGCCCGAGC